CCACACCUAAAAACUUUCCACGUGAACCGUCAAAUGAAACUAGUUUUGUGCCGGGUUGUGUGCGUUCUUAACGGAACAAGCGCGGCCUGGCUAAACGAAGGUCGAGUUGUUUUUCCUUUAUUGGAGAGACGGCGUGGCUGAUUUAUUUUUCAAACCCAUUACCUAAAUACUGAUGAUACUGUGAGGACGAAAGUCCUUGCUUUUACUAGAUAGCAACUUUCAGCAGUGGAUGUCUAGGCUCGCACAUCGAUGAAGAACGCUGCGAACUGCGAUACGUAAUGCGAAUUGCAGGAUUCAGUGAGUCAUCGAAAUUUUGAACGCAUAUUGCACUUCCGGGUUAUGCCUGGAAGUAUGUCUGUAUCAGUGUCCGUAAACCACCUUGCCUCUCUUUGUUUUGUGUGUGUUGCUCUUUAUUGGGCGAUGCGUGCGGGGUAUCGAGAUGGCAGAUUUGAAGUGUCUCGCCUGUUGGGUGUUUUUUUCAUUUUUGAAUGAAAUGCCACAACUGGGCGAGUCCUUUUAAACGAACACGACUGUUCUGCUGUUUUCUGCAAAAGUGCGGCGCUCGAAAAGCGGUGGUUCCAUUGGGAUCGCUUGCAGUCGGCCGGGACCUUGGCGGAUGCGUGUGGGAUGGAGAGAGAYAGACUCGACUCGCGGUACGUUAGGGUGAGUGCUUUAUUCGUAAGGCGUUCGUUCGAACAAUGUUGCGUGUUGGGUGUUUGUUUUUUUCUUUCUCGCGUGAAGCGCGUUUGCUUUGAGGUGUACUGUGCCAUUGUACUGUGGGUUUGAACCUGGUGUGUGACUGUUUAGCGAAGUAGCGUGCUGUUUUUGUUUUGUGGAAAUACGCUGUUUGUUUCUGCCAAGUGUGGAGACGAGUGGAGUAAAGCGUUCGGUUGGAAUAUUUGGGAAAUAAAUGUGCAUGUGUAUCACUGCGGUAAUCCUUGCGGACUCUUUGAUUUAAUUAUUGAAAGGUGUGCGAGUUUUGUUGCGGCGUUGCGUGCGCAUCUCAAUUGGACCUGAUAUCAGACAAGACUACCCGCU
rnacentral:rRNA from 1 species